rnacentral:rRNA from 1 species
GAUGAACGCCGGCGGCGUGCCUAACACAUGCAAGUCGAGCGAUCUUCUUCGGAAGAGAGCGGCGGACGGGUGAGUAACGCGUGGGUAACCUGCCCUGUACACACGGAUAACAUACCGAAAGGUAUGCUAAUACGGGAUAACAUACUUUUAUCGCAUGGUAGAAGUAUCAAAGCUCCGGCGGUACAGGAUGGACCCGCGUCUGAUUAGCUAGUUGGUAAGGUAACGGCUUACCAAGGCGACGAUCAGUAGCCGACCUGAGAGGGUGAUCGGCCACAUUGGAACUGAGACACGGUCCAAACUCCUACGGGAGGCAGCAGUGGGGAAUAUUGCACAAUGGGCGAAAGCCUGAUGCAGCAACGCCGCGUGAGCGAUGAAGGCCUUCGGGUCGUAAAGCUCUGUCCUCAAGGAAGAUAAUGACGGUACUUGAGGAGGAAGCCCCGGCUAACUACGUGCCAGCAGCCGCCGUAAUAC